AACGAACGCUGGCGGCAUGCCUAACACAUGCAAGUCGAACGGGAUGGCACCUUCGGGUGCCGGCGAGUGGCGGACGGGUGAGUAACGCGUGGGAACCUGCCCUUGGGUACGGAAUAACGCUUGGAAACGAGUGCUAAUACCGUAUGUGCCCUACGGGGGAAAGAUUUAUCGCCCAAGGAUGGGCCCGCGUUAGAUUAGCUAGUUGGUGGGGUAAUGGCCUACCAAGGCGACGAUCUAUAGCUGGUCUGAGAGGAUGAUCAGCCACACUGGGACUGAGACACGGCCCAGACUCCUACGGGAGGCAGCAGUGGGGAAUAUUGGACAAUGGGGGAAACCCUGAUCCAGCAAUGCCGCGUGUGUGAUGAAGGCCCUAGGGUUGUAAAACACUUUCAGGUGGGAAGAUAAUGACGGUACCACCAGAAGAAGCUCCGGCUAACUCCG
rnacentral:rRNA from 1 species